CCGACUAGUUUUUCUUCGCGAACUGAGCCUGAAGCCAGUCGAUGGUCUUCUUGUCCACUUGGAAAGCCUUGGCGAGGAUUUCAUCCGAGAUGGGGGGAUUCGACCCGAACACAGCAUCGGCGAUGGUGAUGGUGCCAGGGUUUUGGCUGCUGAGAGCACCGAUGGCGAAGGUGUUGGUGUGCCCAGGGUUGAACUGGAAGUGGAUGAGGCCUUGGGGGAACACAAACACAUCACCCUUCUUCAGCAUCUUGGUGAAGAGACGGUUGCCGUCGUCGCUGUUGGAUGUGACGAAGCCGACCAAGAGCUGUCCCUCUAUGACGGUGAGGAUCUCGGUGGCACGGGGGUGAGUGUGGGGCGGGUUGAGGCCAUUGGGGAUGUAGUCGAUGCGAACCAUGGAGAUGCCGAGGGUGUUGAGCCCUGGAAUCUGGAUCACGUUGGCAGGCGUGACAUUGAACCCGAAAUUGUUCUUUCCUGUAUCGCCGGGCAUGUCGAGGCCAGAAAGAGAGAAGUCGUCGGCUUUCACAACCAUGGGGUCCUUGCAGACGAAUCCAUUCACCCGCACUGCAACAGCAGAAGGAAGAAGCAAACUCGGUCGGUAAACAUGCAUCAGGAGAACAAACGCACCGAAGGAAAUUAAUCUGGAUACUAUGAAUACCUUUAGACAUCAUAUCUGCGACACAGAAGUCUUGAAGUUGGCUAGGAUCGGAAGCCAUUGCAAGAGAGGAAGCCAUGGCGAGGAGAACAAGGAGAAACAUUUCGGCGGCCAUCUGUAAUCUCUUAGAUGGAUGGGAUUACCUGGUGCCGUGAUACAGUGGCCUGGAAGAGACGGGUAUAUAUAGAGAAGCAGGCUCUGAAACAUUCAUGAUCAUUAGGUGAAGGAGAUGAAAAGUAUACCAUGUUAGGUUGCUUUCUUCUUGCAAUAUAUUUUCUAUAGCCGUCACCUCGUACGAGAUCCAUAUGAUGCACAGUAACCAUUAAAUUUGUUGACGUGUCUCAGUAACCUAAUCCAUGACCAUUUUAUAUGUAUAUAUAUAAUGAUGGAGCUUUUAGUUAGAUCAUGCUGUAGUGUAAAAUGGACUCUUACGUUCGACUGCAUAAUCCACCACGUGAGAUUUUUGUGACGACCUUACGCUACCAAACAAGAGGAGAAGUCAGCAAAGAUGUGGCAGCUGAACAGAACAAGCUAAGGACAGGUAGAAAGAACAAGAAGCCAAAGAUGUGAUUACCAAUUUGACCUUGUCGGGUCUUGUGUACUGCUACGGCUGAUACCGUGUAUUAUAAUUAAGGUGUUCUACGUCAUCUCCGACUAUUUUCAUCACACUGAGACGUCGCGUGCAUGUUGCAAAGAAGUAUGUAAAUACGUAAGUUCUUAAGAGAUUAUAAGUUGAUAUAAUGCUGUCCAAGAAUAGUAAGCAUGUUGAUAGUUGCCUCUACGUUAAACGCUUAUGGGAUCCUAAGUUAUUAAGAGAUCAUAAGAGAUUUUAAAAAUACUAAAUCUUCGUAUAUAGGUAUACAAGAAUAUUGUACGAUUUAGAUAAAAUCAAUUAUAUUCGUGAUAAAAAUCAAUGAGGUUAGGUGAGAUAAAAUAUUUUUUUUAAUUAAAUAUCUAAAGUAAAAUUAACAUAUCAACAUUACAUUGUUCACAUAAAAUUUAUAAUCAUAUUAUCUAUAAUACGAAAAAAAAAUUAUGUCAAAAUUUAAAAUCAAAUAAUAAUGGAUCUAAAUAAUAUUACGAUGCAUACCUUUCGUUGUUAUUUAGAAGAAUAAAUAUUAUCUGAUCUACAGGCGUAUCAUCGUCGGAUCUAAAUGAAAUACUUCUAUUUAGCCCUUAAGAUCAUAUCUAUUUAUAAACAAAAACAAAGAGUCUAAGAUAAGAUAUUAGAAGAAUUCCUCCCAUAAGGAUAUCCUUGGAAUCCUACUAUAAUAUGAAUUUUUUUUUUAUUAAUCAAUAAUCAUAAUCAGAAUUCAAUCAUAUCUAUAAUAUAUUUUACCUAAUUAAAUAUGACCACACAAUCUAACACUCAAUCAUAAAUCCACGAAUCAUAAAUCCAUAAAAAACCAGAAUUUUUGAACUCAUUUCAACCGAGUUCCCAAAAAGUUUAUUAAGUAAAUAAGAUAUUAUUAUGAAUACAAAACAUUUUAAAGUUUUAUAGAUGAUAAUUCUUUUCUAGAAGGUUCUGCCAGCGAGGAUGAAUAAAAAAAAAAGAAAAAUAUCGAUAUAAUAUUUGUAAUUUAUAUAAAUAUAAACAUUUUUCGUCCAUCCAACUCAGCGACCUCUCUGGCAAUCAGAAAGAUUUCAAUAACGAUCAAACAAAGGCUAAUCGAUUAUUUCAGUCAUCAGAUUUUGGUGGCAACGACAUGUUACCAAACACCAUAAAGAAGCUCUCAAAGUCCGACCACGAGACAAGACAAAGUUGCCAGUACGAAUCCGUCUCCGUUCUUCGACCUCGUUCCAUACUGUAUAUUACGAUCGAAGUGAACUGUGUCAUCUUCAACUAUUUCACCAUCACACUGUUUAUAUAUUAUUAUGGUCUAUUUGUGAUCACAACAUAAGAGUUCAAAUUCAUAAUUAUAUUUCAUUUUAGUAAAUGAAUAAAUUGGAGUGAUUGAUACCGCCGGUUAUAGGUGGAUGCAAUCGAGCCAUAUACUACUACUGAACUUUGUAGAUCCCAUGUCAUACAAGUCAAGACAAAAGCACUCCUUUCGGGAAUUCUUGGUGAUGACUUGUUGAAGUUAUGAUCGUGUAUACAAUAUCUCAUGUUUCAGUCAUAAUAUUUGCAUAAAUUGACUUAUUACCGGUAUAUUUUAGUAAAGUUGUCUGCAUAGAUAUAUAAAGUUCAUGAACCUGAGGGAGGAUAAACAUAAGGUGGAUAAAGAAGUAUGCAUAUAUAUAUAUAAUAUGAGAUAUUACACUUUUUGAGGAUGCUGCACUCCAUAUAAUCUAUAAUCUUCCAGGUGGGAAAUACUAUCAUAUGAUCUAAAUAUUGAAAUAUGACUCAUGGAUUUCUUUCUUAAAAAUCAAGUUUUAUUUAUUAUAUUUAAUGACGUGUUUAUAUGAAAUUUGCAACAGUACACCAAUCGUAUGUCAAUAGAGAUGACUCGAGAAUUCUGAAACAUGACACACUUCAUACGUACUUUUCAUAACAUAGAAAGGUCUCUUAAUUCCAUUACAAUAGCAAACGCAAACAGGUAGUCCACUGUUUGCUUAUUCACACCAAAACACACGAGCUAAGAGUGCAGCUUAAUUCAUUCCUCCGACUAGUUUUUCUUCGCGAACUGAGCCUGAAGCCAGUCGACAAGCUUCUUGUCCACUUGGAAAGCCUUGGCGAGGAUUUCAUCCGAGAUGGGGGGAUUCGCCCCGAACACAGCAUCGGCGAUUGUGAUGGUGCCGGGGUUUUGGCUACUGAGAGCACCGAUGGCGAAGGUGUUGGUGUACCCAGGGUUGAACUGGAAGUGGAUGAGGCCUUGAGGGAACACAAACACAUCACCCUUCUUCAGCAUCUUGGUGAAGAGGCGGUUGUCGGUGUUGGAUGUGACGAAGCCGACUAAGAGCUGUCCCUCUAUGACGGUGAGGAUCUCGGUGGCACGGGGGUGAGUGUGGGGCGGGUUGAGGCCUUUGGGGAUGUAGUCGAUGCGAACCAUGGAGAUGCCGAGGGUGUUGAGUCCUGGAAUCUGCAUCACGUUGGCAGGCGUGACAUUGAACCCGAACUUGUUUCCGGUAUCGCCAGGCAUGUCGAGGCCAGAAAGAGAGAAGUCGUCGGCUUUCACAACCAUGGGGUCCUUGCAGACGAACCCAUUCACCCGCACUGCAACAGCAGAAGGAAGAAGCAAACUCGGUCGGUAAACAUGCAUCAGGAGAACAAACGCACCGAAGGAAAUUAAUCUGGAUACUAUGAAUACCUUUAGAGUCCUUAUCUGCGACACAGAAGUCUUGAAGUUGACUAGGAUCAGAAGCCAUUGCCAGAGAGGAAGCCAUGGCGAGGAGAACAAGGAGAAACAUCUCGGUGGCCAUCUGUAAUCUCUUAGAUGGAUGGGAUUACUUGGGGCCUUGAUACAAUGGCCUGGAAGAGACGGGUAUAUAUAGAGAAGCAGGCUCUGAAACAUUCACGAUCAUUAGGUGAAGGAGAUGAAAAGUAUACCAUGUUAGGUUGCCUUCCUCUCGCGAUAAUAUUGUCUAUAGCCGUCUCCUCGUACGAGCUUCAUCUGAUGCAGGGUAACAAAUAGGUUUUUUGACGCUGUCUCAGUGAUUGCUUGAAUGCAUGCGUUCGCCGACAAAGAAAAAUAGUUCUUUAGUUUAAUGCAUCCAACCUAAUCCAUGACCACAUCGUAUACACAAUAAUGGAGCUUUUCAACCUAAUCCGAAAUCCACCGGGUGAGAUUUUGGUGACGACGUCAAGAUACCAAGCACGAUGAGAAGUUUGCAAACAUGUGGGAGAUCAGGUGAACAAGAGCAAGGUUGUGUCAAAAGAACAAGACAAUAGUGUGUCGUUGCCAAUUUGACUUCGUCUGAUGCCGUGUAUUAUGAUUCAAGGUAUUCUUUGUCAGUACAAAGUAUGUAUGUAUGUAUAGCAUGCACAUCAGUGGUGACACCUUCCUUCCUUAUUGCGAUACCCAAUAUGACUGACUUCAUAUAAUGUUAAUCUUAGUACUUGAGAGAUGAAAAGAAGGGAAAAGAAUAGAAGAGAAUAAUAUCAUAUUCAUAAAAAUUGAGAGAAUGGAAUUACAUAUAUUGGAUUUAGCACACAUCCCAACAAGAUUAACUUUUUGGGUUAAUUAGGUUACCGAUCUAUAUAAUUUUUACCCUGGCUAAGUUAAUUUAUCAUGAUCGAUUUCGACAAAUGAGUCAAAAAGAUUAAAGGAUACAGAUAUUAGUGGUAUUUUUUCACCUAAAUUAUUAGACCAACUUGAUUUAACUUGGAAAAAGACAAAAAAAAAAAGAUUUUGGAAACUGUUAUACUGCCUAAUUUUGAGUCAGUUCAAUCCUCUUGAAUCAGUUUCAAUUCUCUUGAUUGAAUUAUAGGUCAACUCUUUCUCUCUCUCUCUCUCUCAUUUGGGAAAGUGAGAUCAUUUGUAAUCAAGCAAAAUUUCUUGCUCUGAAUAAAUAAAAAAAACUAUAUAUAUCAAUAAAUCUAUACUAUUUUUUUAGUUUUUCAAUUGAACUAAAAUUCACUGUGUGAUUUUGUUAAACCAAAAAUACAUCUCUUAUGAUAGAAAUAGCAUUUGCUUCAUGUAAGGUCUUGAUUUCGUUAUUCUUCAAUUGAUGUGGGAUUUAUAUUUUGUAUCUUGUCUUAAAAUUCAUAUACUUGAUCUAAAAUUUAUGAUUUUAUUAUUAUCAUUAAUUUUCUUUAUCGAAAGAUUAGAGUACACGUUAAACUGCCUAACACGAAAUCAUAUGAUUUUGUGCAUUCAAAGUGGACCCAAAAGACAUCUCAGGAUAGAAAUAACAAUUGUUUGGAACGAAGCAAGAGACAUAUUCUAUCGCAAAAACAAUUGCAAAUAGUUAUCCACUGUUUGCUUAUUUAAAGCACAUAAUUUCAGCACGUCAUGUCAACUUGCAACAACGAAGCUUUCUAGUUGUUGUUGUCCAUCCAGAACUGAGCCUGAAGCCAGUCGAUGGUCUUCUUGUCCACCUGGAAAGCCUUGGCCAGAACAUCGUCAGAGAUGGGUGGCUUCGACCCGAACACAGCGUUAGCGAUGGUGAUCGUGCCGGGGUUUUGGCUACUAAGAGCACCGAUUGCGAUAGUGUUGCAGUUGCCGGGAUUGAACUGGAAGUGGAUGAGGCCCUCAGGGAACACAAACACAUCGCCCUUCUUCAGCAUCUUGGUGAAGAGACGGUUGUCGGUGUUGGAUGUGACGAAGCCGACCAAGAGCUGUCCUUCUAUGACGGUGAGGAUCUCGGUGGCACGGGGGUGAGUGUGGGGAGGGUUGAGGCCUUUGGGCCCGUAGUCGAUGCGAACCAUGGAGAUGCCGAGGGUGUUGAGUCCGAUGAGCUUGUUCACGUUGACGGCAGUGACCAUGGAGCCGAGCUUGUUUACCGUGUUGCCGGCUUUGUCGAGUCCCAUGAAGAAGAAGUCUUCGGCUGUCACGUGCUUGGGGUCUUUGCAGACGAAUCCAUUCACCAGCACUGCAGCAGCAACAAGAAAACUCGAUCAGUAAACAUGCAUUAAUCGAAAUCGUGGACCUGCAGGUACGGUGUUCGAUCCUUAAACUCGCCUUUAGAGUCCUUAUCGGCGACGCAGAAGUCUUGAAGAGGGCUAGGAUCAGAAGCCAUUGCGAGAGAGGAAGCCAUGGCAAGGAGAGCGAUGAGGAGGAUUUUGGCUGCCAUCCCUGUAAUCUUCAGGACGGAUGAAGCUACAAUUGGUGUUGUGAUACAAAUGCACGAAGGAGAUGGAUAUAUAGAGAGGGGGAGGGGGAGAGAGGCAGGGUUGAAACAUUCUUGAUCAUUUGGUAAGAGAGCUGAAUAGUAUGCCUUUUGCUUAUAAUAAUAAUAAUGUCUAUGGACUGUGCGUGCUUCUUAUCUUGUGCAGAGAAAGAGUCUACCAAGAGGAGCUUAGUUAUUCUCCACUUGGUUUUGGUCAACGACUAUAUCUUGUAUGUAGUAAAUGCCAUUCAAUCGACAGCGUUUUGAUGAUGGCAGGUCGCUACCAAAUGCCAAGCAAAUUCAUGGAACCAGUGGAGCAUAUGGAUCCACCAGAAGUGCUAGUGAACCAAUGAUCUCAGUUUGACUUCAUCUAACAUCAAGUACUAAUAAUGGAAGGCGUUUUCUGUCACCUUCGAACAUGACCAGGACAAUGCGUGCAGCGACUUCAUCUAACAUCGAAUUCUAUAGUGCAAGCGUUCCGUGUGCGUUGACUGGCAUUAUAUAGAUCGCGUAUACGAGUACUGACACCUUCGCUCUUCGUCGCAACAUCACAUUGGAAAUCGUGUUCAUCGUUAUGUGAUACGUGAUGCGGUGGGUAAAAGAAGGCACACAUGAACUGAAACCUUCGUUCGACAUGUUCUUACAAUCGAGAAUGAGUCUGACUCGAUUUUGUUGAUUAGCAUACACUAAAAUUAAUAUAAAUUCAGCAUACACAAACUCAAUAUAUGUAAUUAGGCUCACUUAGUUAUUAUCUAUGGGACUAAUCUAACAACCUUCUCUUCAUAUAUAUUAGAAUCGAUGCUAAUUUAACUUGUAAGUUUAAGUGUGUAGAUUAUGGGUCAAACCCAAUAUAUAUAACCCAACUUUUUAAUUUUUGUUAGGCUCAUCUUCCUCAUCUUUUCAAUCUUCAUUUCACAUUUCAACAUUUCAUAAUAUUUCAAUAUAUUUUAAAUAACUUUAAUUGAGUUUAUAAUGAGCUCAAUAAAAUAGUAAAUCCUAAUUAUUCAGAGUCAUCCGAGUUUAACACUAACAAAUAGAUUUGCUGCAAUGUGGCUUAGCAAUUAAUAAUGAUCUCAUCAGUGAUCUCGCUCUCAAUUGUUGACUCUUAACAUGAUAUUUAUUUUUAGUCGGAAAACAUGAGGAUUAUUCCGAUCACUACAGAGAAAACAAACUGUAAUAACAUGCAAACGGCUGACUUCGAUCGAUCGCCAAGUGUUUGCUUAUUGGAAUGUUAACAUGGAUGUGAAGAAGCUGCAGUGGUGGUGUUUCUUCUGUUGUUGUUGUCCAUCUAGAACUGAGCCUGAAGCCAGUCGAUGGUCUUCUUGUCCACCUGGAAAGCCUUGGCCAGAACAUCAUCGGAGAUGGGCGGCUUCGACCCGAACACAGCGUUGGCGAUUGUGAUGGUGCCGGGGUUUUGGCUACUGAGAGCACCGAUGGCGAUAGUUUUGGUGUGCCCAGGGUUGAACUGGAAGUGGAUGAGGCCUUGUGGGAACACAAACACAUCACCCUUCUUCAGCAUCUUGGUGAAGAGACGGUUGCCGUCGUCGGUGUUGGAUGUGACGAAGCCGACCAAGAGCUGUCCUUCUAUGACGGUGAGGAUCUCGGUGGCACGAGGGUGAGUGUGGGGAGCGUUGAGGCCUCUGGGUGCGUAGUCGAUGCGAACCAUGGAGAUGCCGAGGGUGUUGAGUCCGACGAGCUGGUUCACGUUGACGGCGGUGACAUUGGAGCCGACCUUGUUUACUGUGUCGCCAGCUUUGUCGAGUCCCCUGAAGAAGAAGUCUUCGGCUUUCACCACCUUGGGGUCCUUGCAGACGAACCCAUUCACCAGCACUGCAACAGGAGGAAGCAAACUCGAUCAGUAAAUAUGCAUCGGGAGAGCAAACGCACCGAAGGAGAUUAAUCUGGAUACUAUGAAAUACCUUU
rnacentral:lncRNA from 1 species